CCCUUGCUAACGGGGGUCACAAUCUAGUAACAGCCAUCUCCCAAGCUCACUUGGCCGGAGACAGUUAACAGCGAACAUGCUGAGCUGCUUCUCCACUUUGCGAGGCCGCAGCCUCAGGACCCCAAGCAGAGAAAGUAUCUGUGAAAGAUUAAGAAGAUGGCUGACUCCAUCCAGAUGCCACAGGCCACACUGCAGCAGCUGCACAACUGUCACAGACACCCCAGGGAUGGUCUCCCUGGGAGUGACCUCAGUGACCUACCACAAUCAAGCUUGGUGCUUUUGGAGGACCGGAGAUUUGGGAGAAGUUGGGGAGAUUCAGGCUCAUUGCAAGUAUGCCAUGCCAAGGAGGAACAAAUUGAUCUCUGCAUUGAAAACCAGCAUUGAAGAAAGGAUUUAUUUUACUGAAAACAUUCUGAAAGUAUAGAGAUAAAGAAAAUCAAAAUUAUCAAGCAGAAAGAUGACAGAGUGGAGAGAAAGACACACACAUCAGCUAGAGAUCUAUUUAUUCUUCAUCUGCUAUUACAGGAUUGCAUCUCUCAGUAAACUCUGAUUAAAGAAGUUUUGUAUCACUCUGUUUGCAUGGGAAAUUGAGAUGAAACAACCUAUUCUAUAUAUGCAUUUAAAUGAUUUUAAAAUGCUUUUAUGGGUAUGGAGUACUACUCAGCCAUAAAGAAUGAGAAAUUAGAGACAUUCAUAGCUAAAUGGAUGCAUAUUGAGGCCAUACUCUUAAGUGAAAUAAAUAGGACACACAUGUGUAAUACCGAGUAGUUUCUCUAGUGUGAGAAACUGAAAGUAUAAAUAAGGGUUAAAAUGAUUAAAAUGAAUAAUUGAUAAUUUGAAAUAGGAAGAAAAUGUCCAAAGAAGUAGGGAUGAUGGGAUGGGAAGGGGAAAGGAAAAAAGGGAAAGGAAAAAUUAAGAGAAAAGAAGAAAAAUGGAAAUGAAGACUAUGUAAAUAGGUAAGGGCGCACAGGUAAUGGGGAAAAAAUAAAAAC
rnacentral:lncRNA from 1 species